rnacentral:tRNA from 1 species
UAGCUCAGUGGUAAAGCACUUGUGUAGCAUGCAUGAAGCCCUGGGUUCAAUUCCCAG